GACGAACGCUGGCGGCGUGCCUAAUACAUGCAAGUUGAGCGAUGAAGCUUGGUGCUUGCACCAAUUUGAAGAGCAGCGAACGGGUGAGUAACGCGUGGGGAAUCUGCCUUUGAGCGGGGGACAACAUUUGGAAACGAAUGCUAAUACCGCAUAACAACUUUAAACAUAAGUUUUAAGUUUGAAAGAUGCAAUUGCAUCACUCAAAGAUGAUCCCGCGUUGUAUUAGCUAGUUGGUGAGGUAAAGGCUCACCAAGGCGAUGAUACAUAGCCGACCUGAGAGGGGGGUCGGCCACAUUGGGACUGGGACACGGCCCAAACUCCUACGGGAGGCAGCAGUAGGGAAUCUUCGGCAAUGGACGAAAGUCUGACCGGGCAAAGCCGCGGGGGUGAAGAAGGUUUUCGGAUCGUAAAACUCUGUUGGUAGGGAAGAACGUUGGUGGGAGUGGAAAGCUCAUCAAGUGACGGUAACUACCCAGAAAGGGACGGCUAACUACGUG
rnacentral:rRNA from 1 species